GAUGAACGCUGGCGGCGUGCCUAAUACAUGCAAAUCGAGCGAACAGAUGAGGAGCUUGCUCCUCUGACGUUAGCGGCGGACGGGUGAGUAACACGUGGAUAACCUACCUAUAAGACUGGGAUAACUUCGGGAAACCGGAGCUAAUACCGGAUAAUAUAUUGAACCGCAUGGUUCAAUAGUGAAAGACGGUUUUGCUGUCACUUAUAGAUGGAUCCGCGCCGCAUUAGCUAGUUGGUAAGGUAACGGCUUACCAAGGCAACGAUGCGUAGCCGACCUGAGAGGGUGAUCGGCCACACUGGAACUGAGACACGGUCCAGACUCCUACGGGAGGCAGCAGUAGGGAAUCUUCCGCAAUGGGCGAAAGCCUGACGGAGCAACGCCGCGUGAGUGAUGAAGGUCUUCGGAUCGUAAAACUCUGUUAUUAGGGAAGAACAAAUGUGUAAGUAACUAUGCACGUCUUGACGGUACUUAAUCAGAAAGCCACGGCUAACUACGUG
rnacentral:rRNA from 1 species